rnacentral:rRNA from 1 species
AUGUGGCUUGCUGUUCAUAGAAGGUGUCUGACGGCUAAUAAUCUGGAAAAGCCUGAAACCUGCUCUCGCUUAUUUGUGCACUGCAGUUUCAGUAAUCAGGUUUGGGCGAGGUUCAAGGCGUGGGCACGAGCUGAUUUUCAGAUUCCAGAUAACACCUUCAGCACCACGGAAGACUGGUGGUUGAAGGCUAGGGCGGUGAUCCCCAAGCAAAUGAGGCGCAAUUUUGAUACAAUUGCCAUCCUUCUUCAUUGGAGGAUCUGGAAGAAAAGAAAUGCGAGGAUAUUCGACAAUGUGGCAAGCUCCCCUGACAAGGUUCGGGACCUGAUCUUGGAAGAUAUAGACGUGUGGAGAUCGGCCGGCUGUAUCAACGACUUGGCGCCUUAA